CAGUCGAGCGGUAGCACAGAGAGCUUGCUCUCGGGUGACGAGCGGCGGACGGGUGAGUAAUGUCUGGGAAACUGCCUGAUGGAGGGGGAUAACUACUGGAAACGGUAGCUAAUACCGCAUAACGUCGCAAGACCAAAGUGGGGGACCUUCGGGCCUCAUGCCAUCAGAUGUGCCCAGAUGGGAUUAGCUGGUAGGUGGGGUAACGGCUCACCUAGGCGACGAUCCCUAGCUGGUCUGAGAGGAUGACCAGCCACACUGGAACUGAGACACGGUCCAGACUCCUACGGGAGGCAGCAGUGGGGAAUAUUGCACAAUGGGCGCAAGCCUGAUGCAGCCAUGCCGCGUGUGUGAAGAAGGCCUUCGGGUUGUAAAGCACUUUCAGCGGGGAGGAAGGCGGUGAGGUUAAUAACCUCAUCGAUUGACGUUACCCGCAGAAGAAGCACCGGCUAACUCCGUGCCAGCAGCCGCGGUAAUACGGAGGGUGCAAGCGUUAAUCGGAAUUACUGGGCGUAAAGCGCACGCAGGCGGUCUGUCAAGUCGGAUGUGAAAUCCCCGGGCUCAACCUGGGAACUGCAUUCGAAACUGGCAGGCUAGAGUCUUGUAGAGGGGGGUAGAAUUCCAGGUGUAGCGGUGAAAUGCGUAGAGAUCUGGAGGAAUACCGGUGGCGAAGGCGGCCCCCUGGACAAAGACUGACGCUCAGGUGCGAAAGCGUGGGGAGCAAACAGGAUUAGAUACCCUGGUAGUCCACGCUGUAAACGAUGUCGAUUUGGAGGUUGUGCCCUUGAGGCGUGGCUUCCGGAGCUAACGCGUUAAAUCGACCGCCUGGGGAGUACGGCCGCAAGGUUAAAACUCAAAUGAAUUGACGGGGGCCCGCACAAGCGGUGGAGCAUGUGGUUUAAUUCGAUGCAACGCGAAGAACCUUACCUGGUCUUGACAUCCACAGAACUUUCCAGAGAUGGAUUGGUGCCUUCGGGAACUGUGAGACAGGUGCUGCAUGGCUGUCGUCAGCUCGUGUUGUGAAAUGUUGGGUUAAGUCCCGCAACGAGCGCAACCCUUAUCCUUUGUUGCCAGCGGUUAGGCCGGGAACUCAAAGGAGACUGCCAGUGAUAAACUGGAGGAAGGUGGGGAUGACGUCAAGUCAUCAUGGCCCUUACGACCAGGGCUACACACGUGCUACAAUGGCAUAUACAAAGAGAAGCGACCUCGCGAGAGCAAGCGGACCUCAUAAAGUAUGUCGUAGUCCGGAUUGGAGUCUGCAACUCGACUCCAUGAAGUCGGAAUCGCUAGUAAUCGUAGAUCAGAAUGCUACGGUGAAUACGUUCCCGGGCCUUGUACACACCGCCCGUCACACCAUGGGAGUGGGUUGCAAAAGAAGUAGGUAGCUUAACCUUCGGGAGGGCGCUA
rnacentral:rRNA from 1 species